GUCUUUUUGAUUAUUUAUGAAAAGUCUAACCUGCCCAAUGAAUAAUAUUUUAAUGGCUGCAGUAUUUUGACUGUGCAAAGGUAGCAUAAUCAUUAGUUUUUUAAUUGAAGGCUGGUAUGAAUGGUUGGACGAAAUAUUAACUGUUUCAUAUAAAUUUAUAAUAAAAUUUUAUUUUUUAAUGAAAAAGUUAAAAUUUAUUUAAAAGACAAGAAGACCCUAUAAAUCUUUAUAUUUAUUAUUAUUAUAAUUUUAUAUAUAUUUUUUAUUAUAGUAUUUUAUAAUAUUUUAUUGGGGUGAUAUUAAAAUUUAAUAAACUUUUAUAAUUUUAUACAUUUAUUUAUGAAUAUUUGAUCCAUUAUUAAUGAUUAAAAAAUUAAGUUACUUUAGGGAUAACAGCGUAAUUUUUUUGGAGAGUUCUUAUUGAUAAAAAAUAUUGCGACCUCGAUGUUGGAUUAAGAUAUAAUUUUAGGUGUAGAUGCUUAAAUUUUAAGUCUGUUCGACUUUUAAAUUCUUACGUGAUCUAAGUUCA
rnacentral:rRNA from 1 species